rnacentral:rRNA from 1 species
AUCGGUACGGGUUGUGGGAGCAAGAGCCCGGAGAUGGAUUCUGAGACACGAAUCCAGGCCCUACGGGGCGCAGCAGGCGCGAAACCUUUACAAUGCGGGCAACCGUGAUAAGGAAACCCCGAGUGCCCGUAAACGCGGGCUGUCCAUCUGUAUAACACGCAGGUGAAGAAAGGGCCGGGCAAGACCGGUGCCAGCCGCCGCGGUAAUACCGGCGGCUCGAGUGGUGGCCACUAUUACUGGGCUUAAAGGGUCCGUAGCUUGAGCAAUAAGUCCCUUGGGAAAUUCAGCAGCUUAACUGGUGACAGUUCAGGGGACACUGUUGUUCUAGGGAUCGGGAGAGGUAAGAGGUACUGCCGGGGUAGGAGUGAAAUCCUGUAAUCCCGGUGGGACCACCGAUGGCGAAGGCAUCUUACCAGAACGACUCCGACAGUGAGGGACGAAAGCUGGGGGAGCAAACCGGAUUAGAUACCCGGGUAGUCCCAGCCGUAAACGAUGCGCGUUAGGUG